rnacentral:rRNA from 1 species
CAGUCGCCGCGGGAAUACAGAGGGUGCAAGCGUUAAUCGGGAUUACUGGGCGUAAAGCGUGCGUAGGCGGUUUGUUAAGUCUGCUGUGAAAUCCCCGGGCUCAACCUGGGAAUGGCAGUGGAUACUGGCAGGCUAGAGUAGGGCAGGGGGUGGUGGAAUUUCCUGUGUAGCGGUGAAAUGCGUAGAUAUAGGAAGGAACACCAGUGGCGAAGGCGACCACCUGGGCUCAUACUGACACUGAGGUGCGAAAGCGUGGGGAGCAAACAGGAUUAGAUACCCCCGUAGUCCCUGUCUCUUAUAC